rnacentral:rRNA from 1 species
CCCUUAGAUGUUCUGGGCCGCACGCGCGCUACACUGAUGCAUUCAACGAGUUUCUUCCUGGUCCGAGAGGAAUGGGUAACCUUUUGAAAGUGCAUCGUGAUAGGGAUAGACUAUUGCAAUUAUUGGUCUUCAACGAGGAAUUCCUAGUAGACGUAGUUCAUCAGACUGCAUCGAUUACGUCCCUGCCCUUUGUACACACCGCCCGGCGCUCCUACCGAUUGAAUGCUCAGGUGAGCCAUUCGGACUUUCAUCAUGCUGGUUUCCAGUUUUGAUGAAGGAAAGUCUUGCGAACCUUAUCAUUUAGAGGAAGGAGAAGUCGUAACA